AUUGAACGCUGGCGGUAUGCUUAACACAUGCAAGUCGAACGGUAACAGGCCUUCGGGCGCUGACGAGUGGCGGACGGUGAGUAACGCGUAGGAAUCUGCCUCAUAGUGGGGACAACGUGGGGAAACUCACGCUAAUACCGCAUACGCCCUACGGGGGAAAGCGGGGGAGUCUUCGGACCUCGCGCUAUGAGAUGAGCCUGCGUUAGAUUAGCUAGUUGGUAGGGUAAAGGCCUACCAAGGCGACGAUCUAUAGCUGGUCUGAGAGGACGAUCAGCCACACUGGGACUGAGACACGGCCCAGACUCCUACGGGAGGCAGCAGUGGGGAAUAUUGGACAAUGGGCGCAAGCCUGAUCCAGCAAUACCGCGUGUGUGAAGAAGGCCCUAAGGGUUGUAAAGCACUUUCAAUUGGG
rnacentral:rRNA from 1 species